CAGUCGCCACGGGAAUACGUAGGUGGCAAGCGUUGUCCGGAAUUAUUGGGCGUAAAGGGCUCGCAGGCGGUUUCUUAAGUCUGAUGUGAAAGCCCCCGGCUCAACCGGGGAGGGUCAUUGGAAACUGGGAAACUUGAGUGCAGAAGAGGAGAGUGGAAUUCCACGUGUAGCGGUGAAAUGCGUAGAGAUGUGGAGGAACACCAGUGGCGAAGGCGACCCUCUGGUCUGUAACUGACGCUGAGGAGCGAAAGCGUGGGGAGCGAACAGGAUUAGAUACCCGAGUAGUCCCUGUCUCUUAUAC
rnacentral:rRNA from 1 species